rnacentral:rRNA from 1 species
UUUUUUAUUCUAUUAAUAAUUAACAUUUAAAUUUAUUUUUUAUAGUAUUAUUUAGAAAUAAUAAAUUUAGUAUUUACUGUCAAGUAAUUUUUAUAAAAGUUUAAUAAAAUUUAUUAGUACCUUUUGUAUCAGGGUUAAUUUAAUUUAUUAUUUAUUUUUCUUUCCCGAAAAAAUGGUAUCUAUAUUAUGUUUUUUUUUAUUGUUAUAUUAAUAUUAAUUAGCUUAUUAUGGUAGUGAUAUUCUAUUCGCCCAUUUAUUAUAUCUGGUUAUUUAGGAUUUCAAUUUAAUUGAUAAUUAAUUUUUAUAUUUUUUAUUUAAUUUGUUAAUUAUAUAUAAUUUGGGAUAAUCUUUUUUAUUAUUUAAAAUUUUUAUUAAUUAAUUAUUUUUUAAUUUAAAAUCUUUUAUUUAGUUCUUAAUAGAUUAUAAUUUAUAUUUUUAAUUUUUUUGUAUUUAUAUUAUUACUAAAUUCUUUUAAUUAAUUUUUAAUUAAAUUAAUUAAUGAUUAAAUUAGUAUAAUUUUUAAUUGAAAUAUAAUUAAUUCGACAAAUUUAAUCUUCAACUGUUUAUCAAAAACAUUUCUUUUAGAUUAAAUUAAAGGUAAAUUCUGCCCUAUGGUAAAUAAUUAAAUGGCUGCAGUAUUUUGACUGUGCAAAGGUAGCAUAAUAAUUAGUCAUUUAAUUGUUGACUUGUAUGAAUGGAUAAAUGAGAGAUUUAUUUUUUUUAUUUUAAUAUUAAAAUUUUAUUAUUAAGUAAAAAAGCUUAAUUGAUUUUUAGGGACGAAAAGACCCUACAGAACUUUAUUAUAAUUAAUAUAUUAAAUUUUUAGUAAAAUUUUUAUUAAUAUUUUAAUUGUUUUUUUGUUGGGGUGACAAAUAAAUUUUAACUUUAUUUUUUUUAUUCAUUAAUUUAUGAUUUUUUUUGAUCCUUGAUUUAGAUUAUAAGUUUUAGUUACCUUAGGGAUAACAGCGUAAUUUUAAUGGGGAGUUCAUAUUUAUAUUAAAGUUUGCGACCUCGAUGUUGAAUUAAGAUAAGUAUGAGGGGUAGGUUUUUCAUUACUAAGUCUGUUCGACUUUUAAAUUCUUACAUGAUUUGAGUUCAAACCGGUGUAAGCCAGGUUGGUUUCUAUCUUAAAAUAAAUUUUCUUUAUAGUACGAAAGGACCUAAAGAGUCAAUUUUUUUUGUAAAUAUUGAAUUAUAUU